ACUUGUUUAUUUCAUUUUCAAGUAAGGAACUCAUUAAUGUUAAAUCCUGAUAAAUUAAAUCUCCUGAUUGUUAAUGAUAAUGAAGUUUUAAAUCUUUUUUUCCUUUAGCUGAUGCAAUUUUUAAUGUUCUAUUCAGUUAAUAAUAUUGGAAGUUAUAUAAGACAUUGUAGGUAAAAUUUAUUAGUGCAUUAUAAUCUCAUUAGAUUUUUCUGAUUUUGUUUUACUUUGUUAAAGAAGGUUGUAAUUUAUCUGUAAAUGCAGUCCUGGAGAAUGGACACAAAGAAGUUGUGGCAGUCCAAUAGAAAAAGAAUUCAUUCACUCUUCUUUAACGUGGUGAUUUAUGUAAUCUGCUACUAGUUCUCAUCCUGUUCCUUGGUUUGUAUUACCGUGCAUAUAUUCUAUGUGUGUUACUAUGCUUCAGUAUUGGUAGUACAUGCAGUGGGUUGAGUGCUAUUAGUGUUUAAUACUAAAUCUUUUUCACAAAAUAUGUAUGUCUUCAUAUAUGCAUAACAACUCAUGCAUAGAUGUGUACAAUAUUAAGUUGUAGCAAAAAGCAUGACUAAUGUGUAUAGAAAUAAGCUGAUUGUUACUUAGGUUUCAGAGUUAUUAAAAUAUGGCUGUACUUUAAAGUUCUUGUGGAUUGUAUGUUAUUAGACACUGGUUUAGUAUCAAGAGUUUUUUUUUUCAGAAGGAGAAAUCCUUUUCAGGUAUACUUUCAUUCUGUUUUAAUUAAACAUUGCUGAGGCUUGUAGGACUUUGGACAUAUUCUGUGUGUGUUGACUAUUCUCACCCAUUUUCAUGCUGAAUGGGCCUUAAGCUCAGUAUUGUUAGUAGGUAUUGGUGGUAGGCGAACGGUUGGACCAGAAGAUCUUGGAGGUCUUUUCCAACAUUGUGAUUCUGGUAUAAAAUGUAAAAUUAAAGUCGGAUGCCUAUGAUGAAACUGGACUGCUAAGGAAGAAUGAAUUCAUAAAAUAUAUAUCAAAUACAAAAUGUUUAAAAGCUUACUCUAUAUUAGCUGCACUCUUGUGGUAUUAAGGGAAUAGUCUAAAUAUCUGGGAGAUGUUAAUCUAAACAUUUGCCUAAUCUUCGUUUUCAUUAAAGGUGGAAGGAAAUUUACUAACAUUUCCCAAAGGGGUUAAGCUUUCUAUAUGCACUGCUAUUUUGUGAAGUUAACUCAAAUAAUUGAGUUACAGUUACAUUAAAAACUAGCAUCUGGAGUGUAAGAGCAUCUUUACUUAGGGUACAUACUUAGUUUACAUACUAUAGACAAUAUUUACAAUUGCAAAUUUGAAAUUUACGUUAGAAAAUUUAAGACGGAUUUUUUAACAAAUAAAACUUGCUUUUUAAGCUUAUUCCGACCAGUAUGAGCUAGCUGCCUACAAAUAUAUAUGAAAAUUUAUGCUGACAAGCUGCUUCACCCUUAUGUUACUAGAAAGUUUAUUAGUAUUGGUUGAGGAUGUUACCCAUGUGCUUUAUUGAAUUCAUUAAUGUUUGAAACAAAACUUUUGAAACAAGAUGCUCUUUGUAAAAUACUUUUCAGUUGUCUUUGAGAUGUGUUUCAAAGCAACAUUUCUGUAGUGCAGUUUUGUUUGCUUAGACCACUAGUUGGUAUACAUCCUCAUCUAACAUGUUUCUAUGGAAACAGACUUCAUUGCACUGUCCGUUUGAAGUUAGGUGGGUUCGUGAUGUGAAAUAUCAAAACAAAGUAGUUGCAAUGAGAGAAUUUUGUUUCAUGUUCUUAGCUGUUAGCUUAAGAUAAAUUCUCCCAUCAUUUACAGGACCCCGGCUUCAAUUUUACAUUGAGGUACCUGAAACUUCAGUUCAAUUAUAUGUAUGUAAGCAAAAAAAGCAAAAGGAAAAAUGAAGAGACUUUGGUUUUAUUUUCCUCUACAAAGAGAGGAAGUUGUAAGGCUUUUUUAGAAGUGUUUUUUGGCUCUACAUGACUGUGUGGUAAAACACAUGGGGAAAAUCAUGACCUGAAAGUGGUCUUGUCCAUCUUCUGCAAUAACCUUAGUGAGUUAGCCAAUAUCAACCACAUUGGAACAAGGUCUUAUAGGUGACAGAAUGAAAGUUCUACAGCGCAGCGUGGGGUGGUGGAUCCCCAACCCACACAGAAGCAAGUAAAUACUGAGGUAAAGUUUAUAGCAUUUUUUUUAAUUUAUGGUCUGAUGUGAAAUACUACGUAUGAUAAACUUAUCUUCAAGACGCAGAUCCACCAAAACUCAGGUUUUGAUUAGUUCUAUUGCUGCUGAGCAAUAUUGUUGCUUAGUAAACUCACUCUGAAGAUAAUACUUCAAUGAUUUUUCCAUAACUGUGUUUUACCCUUGCAUUUUAUUUUUUUCUUCAUCACUCAUGCUGAAGCAACUUCAUUUUACUCUUCUUAUUUUCAGGUAAUUGAAGUAAACAUUGUUACUUCACUAAAAUUCAAAUAGUAAUUACAUUGCCCUGGAAAUAUUAGCAAAUCCAGGGAGAUAGAUACAUGAUGAUGAUGGGGACAAAUUUUGGUGUUACUAGUAUUAAAUUUAAGUAUUUGCCUCAAAAGGGAAAAAGAAUAAACGUCUGCGGUUUGAUAAUAUCAUCUUGUUAAUAAUGUACACGAUUACCUGGACAUAGUUUUAGCAGAUUUGCUUCUACAUGUAGUUGGUUUAUAUUAUUGAUACCUCCUGGAGUCACCAUUGCUUUUACUAUAAAAUCUUGAUUCCAUCAUCUUCAAUGAGAAGCAUGGUAAGACAUGGUGUAAAUAUACUGAAAUAAGUAGUAUUCAUCACACAGUGAAUCAUCACUCAGCAUGAAGACAAAGCUAAAUCCCUCUGAUGUUAAAAUUAAAAUGAACUUACAUUAAUGAAGCUGACCUCAUUAUAUUGUUUCUGAAGCAACAAUGUCAUGGCCUGGUGAGGAUAAACUGUUUGUAGAAAGUUAUUUAUUACAGGAAAUGCAGUUGAUUUAAACACUUGUGCAUAUUUUAGUUUCCUGUUCCCUCUGAAGCAUAAACUCUCCAGCACAAAAACAUUAUUUUUUUUUCAUCAAGAGAAGUUUAAUUAAAUUAGAUUCAACAGAUACUGUACUGAAAAAACUAUUAUCUUUUCAUAACAUUUCCCACAUCUUUAGAUGUCUCAUCUUUCCUUGUGGAAAAAAGGCCUAAAUGUUUUUCAUUGUUUGCUCAACAUUAUCCCUGCCAUAGACUGUGGUAUGGUAUAAUGCAGCGUAGGUUUGUUUUGAUAUGCAAGCAGUAAAGCUGCCUUACUAUCAAGACAGCCAGUUGCUGCUAUACCUGAAAGCUGUGUGGACACAAUAUCAGGAGUUGUUUCUUAAUAACAGGAGGGAGUAUACAGGUGAUGGUGAACCAAAUGUGCAUUAUUUAAACUGUUGGCUUGUGGCUUAUGAUUUGAUAGAUCACUUUGUAUGCAUUAGAUGUGGUAAUAAACUUUCCUUUGAAGCAGAAAAGGCAAAUAUUUUUUCUAGUAAAGCCAAUAUAAUUAUGCAUAAACAGUUUGUAUAUUUCAAGGCUGGCUUGAACUGAAAAUUCGUUUGCAGCCUAUAAAACAAAAAUCAAAGUUGAUUUUUUGUUUCAGAAGGGUAUGUGCAUACACAUAUAUGUGUUACUUGCACAUGUACUGCUGACAAAAGAGAAGGGGUUUUCAUCUUAUUUCUAAUAUUAAUGUUUACUGUGAUACUGAAAAGAAAAAAAAAAAGAACAUUUUUGCUUGUGUCUGGCUUAUGGAAUUUAGAAAUUAGUACCAAAAAAUACCUCAUAUCAUUUUGCCUCUUGUGAUGGAAUCUGAAGUCAUGGAAGUCAUUUGUUUGCUUUCAGAAUUGGUGAAUUGUACUGGCAACACAUUUGGAUUUUUUUUUUCUCAUCCCCCGUUAUUUUAUGAUUACUAUGGACACAGGCUAUUCCAGGAGCUCGAAUGGUGAAGUUCAAUACAAGAGAAUUCAAAAUCUCUCUUUCUGAAUGUCCCAGACAGAAUAACCCCUUUGCACAAAUGAAAAAGGGAGGAAAUGCAUAUGAUUUCCUAGCAGACAUGGGGUGAAAGGAGAAGCAAAGCAGAAUCAGCAUGCAAGCAGAUCCUUGAUUUUUUCAAGUCAUGAAGUAGCAUGUUUCUGUGAUAUUACAUAAUGAUAGUGUCAAACUGUAAGAUCUGAGGUAUGUUUAUGCCAACACACGUACUCAUAAGUUACAUUCCUUUCUAAAAUAAAGUUGUCAUAGUUCACCUUGAAAGUUUA